GUAGCUAAUGUGUAGCUAAUCCGUCGCUAAAACCCGUCCGUAGCUAAUCCGUAGCAGAGAUUCUGAAGCUGGGUCGUAGCAAAUCGGUAGCUAUUUUUUUUAAUUAAAAUCCAUCAUAUUUGCCUGUUAUUGAAUACCCCCGACGUUAUCUACCUUCAUUCGACGAACAGAUAGAAAAGAAGCUGUGAAGGCGACCUAUUUCCCCUCUCGUUCGUCAAUCGCCGGCGGCCUCUUCGACGUCGACAUUGCCGUCGCCGACCGUCGCUCCCAACCCACCUUCUUCUCCGGCGCAUCUUCCCUCCUCUCUCUCGGCCUCUUUGCUCGAUUCUUCCCCAGAAAGGACAUCAUCUGAUGAAGGAACCUUAUACAACCAUGUUCAAUGAAACAGAGCUACUAACAAGAUAUAUUCGUGAAAUUCAAAGAACAGUACAAGUGGUUUAAGAGUUCUUCCGGUGAAAUGAAUAUUUCUAAAUGGAAAAAGAUGGAUUCCAAAUCCUUAGUGAUAAGCUGAAUAUUGGUCCCCUCAGCUCCCUGUACUCUUCUAAAGAUUCUCCAAACCCAAGGUUGAUAGGUUGCGUGCACAAGUUUCUACCAUGGAACAACAACAACAACAAAUGAAAGAACAAAUGGAAAUGGUUAUGAGGAUGAUGAAUAUGUCUUGACAUCAACCCCGUGCUCCCCCCGAUAAUCCACCUGAGGACAAUUGAUAAGUAUUUUGGAACAAUUGAAUUUGUAAACAUUUGAUAUUGUUUGUUUUGUUAAGUAAUGCUUACUUUUGUAAGAUAUUUUGGAUAAUGGAAUGGAAUGUGUCAAACUUGGUAUUA